AGGCUGCAACCCGCCUGCGUGAAGUUGGAAUCGCUAGUAAUCGCGGAUCAGCAUGCCGCGGUGAAUACGUUCCCGGGCCUUGUACACACCGCCCGUCACACCAUGAGAGUCGGGAACACCCGAAGUCCGUAGUCUAACAGCAAUGGGGGCGCGGCCGAAGGUGGGUUCGAUAAUUGGGGUGAAGUCGUAACAAGGUAGC
rnacentral:rRNA from 1 species